AACAUUGUUUUACCAGCAUUGAAAGUUAUGGAGAUACGGCCCUAUUCUAGCAAACAUCUGCCAGUCUUAGAAGAAAAUGGAGGUGUGUCACAUGACGACGCUCCAAACCAUCAUCAUUUGAAGUUAUGUGUCAUUUCAAUAAAUUGAUGCAACAUUGUAUAGACAGAAAUGCUGCUGGAAUCCCCACUUAUAAAUAAAAAGGGUCUUCCAGCCAUACAGAGUUCCGUGAUGUCGUUGACAUGAACCCAGGUGUGCACACGGAUGCCUGCAUGCAGAUCUCACUGUAGACACCAGAUGCAUGCAGUCAUCUGAACGGUAUGGGCUAGCUUUAAAUCUUAAGAUUUUUAUGCUUUCUUAUGCAACUCUGAAAAUUAUAGUGUUCAUUAAUUAUUUCAUUUAUAUUGGCAAAACCCAAAAAGUAGUACAUUUCCUUAGUAGUCCCAUUUCCUUAGUCCCUUUACAGAU